rnacentral:rRNA from 1 species
GUUGAAGCGCGGGUAAGACCGCGUGGAGGACCGAACCCACCUGGGUUGAAAACCGGGGGGAUGACCUGGGGCUAGGGGUGAAAGGCCAAUCAAAUUCCGUGAUAGCUGGUUCUCUCCGAAAUGCAUUUAGGUGCAGCGUCGGUUGAUUGCAUCGCGGGGGUAGAGCUACUGGAUGCUUGCGGGCCCGUGUCGGGUACCAAUAGCAGCCAAACUCCGAAUACCGUGGAUGUGUAUUCCGGCAGUGAGUCGGCGGGGGAUAAGCUCCGUCGUCGAGAGGGAGACAGCCCAGAUCGUCGUCUAAGGUCCCGAAGCGUGUGCUAAGUGGGAAAGGAUGUGGAGUCGCAUAGACAGCCAGGAGGUUGGCUCAGAAGCAGCCAUCCUUGAAAGAGUGCGUAACAGCUCACUGGUCUAGUGGUUCCGCGCCGACAAUGUAGCGGGGCUCAAGCACACCACCGAAGACGCGGCAGCGGCCUUUGUGGCCGUUGGGUAGGAGAGCGUCCCGCGUGGGGCGAAGCGGCCGGGGAACCGUGCCGUGGACCGCGCGGGAGUGAGAAUGCAGACAUGAGUAGCGAGAGACGGGUGAGGAUCCCGUCCGCUGGAUGACCAAGGGUUCCGGGGCCACGUUCGUCGUCCCCGGGUGAGUCGGGUCCUAAGGCGAGGCCGACAGGCGUAGUCGAAUGGAUGAACGGGUGGAUAUUCCCGUACCGGCGGCGUACCGUAAGAGCCGAACGGAUGAGUACUAACCUCCGGUCGCGUGGCGUCGUUCCCUUCGGGGUUCGGGGUCCGCGGUCGUUGGGAGCGUAGUCCUGGUAGGCUAGCGCACAGGGGUGACACGGAAUGGGAGCCGGCCGCGGAGGUGGUUUUCCGUGGUCAAGCACGCAGCCCGUCCCAUAGGCAAAUCCGUGGGACGCAUAGGGUGAGGUGUGAUGAUGGGCGUCCUUUGGACGCGAUAUCCGGUGGUCCAGGCCGUCGAGAAAAGCCUCGGCGCGAGGGGCGUCGCCGCCCGUACCCCAAACCGACACUGGUGGUCAGGUAGAGAAUACCAAGGCGAUCGAGCGAAUCCUGGUCAAGGAACUCGGCAAAUCACUCCCGUGCCUUCGGUAUAAGGGAGACCCUCGGGCGUGAAGAGGCUUGCCCUCGGAGCGUUGGGGGGUGGCACAGACCAGGGGGUAGCGACUGUUUACCAAAAACACAGGUGCAUGCGAAGGCGCAAGCCGCUGUAUAUGCACUGACGCCUGCCCGGUGCCGGAAGGUUAAGAGGAUCCGUCAGUCCCUUUUGGGGUGAAGCGGUGAAUUCAAGCCCCGGUAAACGGCGGUGGUAACUAUAACCAUCCUAAGGUAGCGAAAUUCCUUGUCGGGUAAGUUCCGACCUGCACGAAUGGCGUAACGACUUCCCCACUGUCUCGACCAGGAGCUCGGCGAAAUUGCAGUACGAGUAAAGAUGCUCGUUAAGCGCAGAAGGACGAAAAGACCCCGGGACCUUUACUAUACCUUGGUAUUGGCGUUAGGCGCGGAUUGUGUAGCAUAGGCGGGAGGCUUCGAAGCAUGGGCGCCAGCCCGUGUGGAGCCGCAAGGUGAAAUACCGCUCUGUUCUCGUUUGACGUCUAACCUCGAACAGUCAUCCUGUUCAGGGACAGUGCCUGGCGGGUAGUUUAACUGGGGCGGUUGCCUCCCAAAGAGUAACGGAGGCGCUCAAAGGUCCGCUCAGCCCGGUUGGCAAUCGGGUUUCGAGUGUAAUCGCACAAGCGGGCUUGACUGCGAGAACGACGGUUCGGGCAGGGACGAAAGUCGGAGAUAGUGAUCCGGUGCCGGCGCACGGGCGCGGCAUCGCUCAACGGAUAAAAGGUACCCCGGGGAUAACAGGCUGAUCAUUCCCAAGAGUCCAUAUCGACGGGAUGGUUUGGCACCUCGAUGUCGGCUCGUCGCAUCCUGGGGCUGGAGCAGGUCCCAAGGGUUCGGCUGUUCGCCGAUUAAAGCGGCACGCGAGCUGGGUUCAGAACGUCGUGAGACAGUUUGGUCUCUAUCCUCUGCGCUCGUUGGAAUCCUGAGGAGGCCUGCCCAUAGUACGAGAGGACCUGGGUGGACG